AGGACGAACGCUGGCGGCGUGCCUAACACAUGCAAGUCGAACGGAGAUUUCAGCAAUGAAAUCUUAGUGGCGAACGGGUGAGUAACGCGUAGACAACCUACCUUCUAGAUGGGGACAACACUGCGAAAGUGGUGCUAAUACCGAAUGUUGUAUCUUGGUUGCAUAACUGAGAUACUAAAGAUGGCCUCUAUUUAUAAGCUAUCGCUAGAAGAUGGGUCUGCGUCUGAUUAGCUAGUUGGUGAGGUAAUGGCUCACCAAGGCGACGAUCAGUAGCCGGUCUGAGAGGAUGAACGGCCACACUGGGACUGAGACACGGCCCAGACUCCUACGGGAGGCAGCAGUGGGGAAUCUUCCGCAAUGGACGAAAGUCUGACGGAGCAACGCCGCGUGAGUGAAGAAGGUUUUCGGAUCGUAAAACUCUGUUUUCAGGGACGAAUGUGCAGCUUGUAAAUAAUGAGUUGUAAUGACGGUACCUGAGUAGAAAGCCACGGCUAACUACGUGCCAGCAGCCGCGGUAAUACGUAGGUGGCAAGCGUUGUCCGGAAUUAUUGGGCGUAAAGCGCGCGCAGGUGGGAUAUUAAGUCUGGUGUUAAAGUUCGGGGCUCAACCCCGUGGAGCAUUUGGAAACUGAUAUUCUUGAGUGCAGGAGAGGAAAGUGGAAUUCCUAGUGUAGCGGUGAAAUGCGUAGAUAUUAGGAGGAACACCAGUGGCGAAGGCGACUUUCUGGACUGUGUCUGACACUGAGGCGCGAAAGCUAGGGUAGUGAACAGGAUUAGAUACCCUGGUAAUCCUAGCUGUAAACGAUGGGUACUAGGUGUUGGGGGUAUCGACCCCUCCAGUGCCGGAGUUAACGCAAUAAGUACCCCGCCUGGGGAGUACGGCCGCAAGGUUG
rnacentral:rRNA from 1 species